AACUUUGCACAGUGCAGUAUCGUAGCCAACAAGGCUUAUCCGAGGCGCAGUUAUUGCCCAUUGAAAACUUUUCCCAAUAUCCCGCCUUGACAACUUGAAAUAUAGUCGGUGUUGGCAAUUUUUGGCAGUCUCUACUGGGA
rnacentral:snRNA from 1 species